rnacentral:rRNA from 1 species
UACGAAGGACCCGAGCGUUAUCCGGAUUUAUUGGGUUUAAAGGGUGCGUAGGCGGACUUGUAAGUCAGUGGUGAAAUCCUGCAGCUUAACUGCAGAACUGCCAUUGAAACUGCUUGUCUUGAGUACAUUUGAAGCGGGCGGAAUGUGUCAUGUAGCGGUGAAAUGCUUAGAUAUGACACAGAACACCGAUUGCGAAGGCAGCUCGCUAAACUGUAACUGACGCUGAGGCACGAAAGCGUGGGUAGCAAACAGG